CGGCCGCGGUAUCCUAACCGUGCGAAGGUAGCGUAAUCACUUGUUCUUUAAAUGAGGACUAGUAUGAACGGCUUCACGAAAGCUAUACUGUCUCCUUUGUCCAAUCAGUUAAACUAAUCUCCCCGUGAAGAAGCGGGGAUAUACCUAUAAGACGAGAAGACCCUGUGGAGCUUUAAACACCUUAAAACAUUUGUCAUUCUACUUCACAACUUCCAGAAAACUUUACUAAACCCAACACUCUGUUUUAGGUUUUAGGUUGGGGUGACCACGGAGUAAAACUUAACCUCCACGUAGAAAGAAACUCCCUUUCUAAGCAAAAAGCUACAUCUUUAUGCAUCAAAAUAUUGACUUAAAUUGACCCAAUUAUUUGAUCAACGAACCAAGUUACCCUAGGGAUAACAGCGCAAUCCGCUUUAAGAGCUCCUAUCGACAAGCGGGCUUACGACCUCGAUGU
rnacentral:rRNA from 1 species